rnacentral:rRNA from 1 species
UACAGAGGUCCCGAGCGUUGUUCGGAUUCACUGGGCGUAAAGGGUGCGCAGGUGGGUUUGCAAGUUUGGUGUGAAAGCCCCGGGCUUAACCCGGGAAUGGCAUUGAAUACUGCAGAUCUGGAGGAUUGGAGGGGGGACUGGAAUUCUUGGUGUAGCAGUGAAAUGCGUAGAUAUCAAGAGGAACACCAGUGGCGAAGGCGAGUCCCUGGACAAUACCUGACACUGAGGCACGAAAGCCAAGGGAGCAAACAGG